rnacentral:lncRNA from 1 species
GAUGCUGUAUGGCUGGAGAAGCUCCUGCCAGCCCCUGCUCUCCUUUUGUGGCAUUUUUCUUUAUCCCAAGAACUUGACUAAUAGUCUAGUCUGGGUUGUCCCUUUGAGGAGGCUUGUUGCUCUCUCAAUUUUCCCAGGCCCGGUGAUAUCCCUGAAGGCAGGUACAGGCAUGCUGCAGAAAUCUGGAGGCCUGCCCAAAAGUAUGUCUGUUGUUGGUGAAGGGGCAAUGUAGCAAUUACAUGAGUAAUGCGGUGGCAGGUCUAUGGGAAAUCAGAGCUGGAGAAAGAGGGCUGUUCUUGAAGGAAGGGUGGUGGGUGAACAAACCCUUGCCUUGCGAACCCUGUCUUCUCCUUCCCCUUCCCCCAAUCCCAGCUCCUCUCUCACCAAACAUCCUUUCAUGCUCACCCCACUCUGGUACUCAAGGAGCUGUGGAAAUGAGAAGGAAGCGGUUGCAGGUCAACAGUGGGCUUCCUCAGAGCCACUGACAGGUCCCUUCUGGCGGGGCUGGCUCCAGGGGCGGGAGCUGAAGACAGACCUUGGAGUCUGACCACUUCUGAGGGCAGCAGCCCGGCUCCUGGUGGCCCCGGCAGCAGUUUUCACAUCCAUUUUUCUCUCAUGAAACUACUUCGGGUGGAAAAUCAAAUUUCAUCAGCUACUCCAGUGAUUUUUCAGCAAAGGAAGAAUCUGAAAUGUUUUGGCUAUCUGGAGAAUCUGUAGCUAGAAUACAGGUGAGCACCCUACAAAAGAAGGACGAUCCAUUGAAGAGAAUCUUAUAACCAGGUGAGCAAUUUGUGAAGUGCUGAAGAGAAGGCCCACAUAGCUCAGGGACAGAAAUCCGCAAAGAACCACUUGUCGCCAACUCUUCAAUAAGAGUCCUAUGCCCUUGUCCACCCCUGGCUUCCUCCUUUGUAGAAAUGAGCAUAGCCAUUUUUGCGAGUUAUUUAUUAUCAUAAGGUCUGUUUAACAUGUAUAGUGCAGUGAUUAAGGAUGCUGGCUUUGGUGCCAGAAAGAAUUGGACUUCAAUCUUGAUGGUGCUACUUAUUAACUGUCACUUUGAUCAAAGAAACUCUUUAUGUCUUUUCUUAUCCAAAAAUUGGGGAUAAUUAUUGCACCUACCUAAUAGGGUCUUUAUGAAGAUUAAACAAGAUUACCUGGAACAUCACAACUGCUUAAUAAUAUUAGCUAUUAUUUGGAAGUACUAUCAUCUUCUUGUAGGAAAAAAAGUAAUUAUAAAAAAUCCAAAUUAUUCACACUGGCAGGUAAACUUGUCAAGGUAUUUUCAAUUUUAAGUAGGCUUUAAGUAAGUUGUCAUUUUUAAAUGAGCACAGUGUGCCAAAUGAUCUGCUAUUUAGUUGACUCACCUGCACAAACCGAUUAUUUUUACAUGCCUUUACAAUUGCAUCCUUCAGUAUUAGAUCAUAUGCAUGAUCUCUCUCCUCUCUCUCUCUCUCUCUCUCUCUCUCUCUCUGACUCUUAUCUUACUCUGAAAUACUGGGACUGGACAACAUUCAAAGGAAGCAUUAUUAAAAUAUCAAGUCUUCAACCAGCCAGACUGCAUAUUCUUUAGGAUUCUCAGCCACGUUUGUGUUCUUCCAUAAUGUAAAUUGCAAAUGAAUAACCUCAGCUUCUUGGGUGCUUAUUUGUAAAUGAGACCUAGAAAGACAUUUUAUAAAUGACUGAAACUAAUGAUUGAAGGAAAGAUAAGGUCUUAAACAAGUGGUGUACAGAGAGUAAAGAAGAAGAAAGGUUAGCCAGCAGGAUGCCCUGUGCGCAAGUGACUGAGGCAGGGAAGCACAGCCUGGAAGAGUCAGAAAUUAUGACGCCAGGAGUGGAAAAAUAAAGGCAGGGCACAGAGAGGCUGCUGAGCCAAGACAGGAAGUGGCAGAUGGUCAUUUUGGUUGCUGGUUCUCAAAAAGCAAGCCAUGUGGGCGCCCCGCCAUUUCCAUUGCUAAUGCUGGAGAACAGAAGUAGCUUCUGGCUGCUCAUCUCUUGCCCUCCCACCCAUGCCCUUUUUUGACUCUGCCAUCACCCAACUCGCUUCUUGAUUCCCUUUGCUUACUGCUCCUGCCUCACUAAUUAAGAAGAGAGAGCACUGGGGCUACUUGGCUCCAGAGUCACUGAGCAAUGACUCUUUGAGUGGAAGGACAGAUGCGUGCCUACUUCCAGAAAUACAGCCAAAUAUGAUAAGCCUCACUGCCUCUAAAUGGUACUUUUUUGUUUUGUUUUGUUUUUUGUACUGGGGAUCGAAGUCAGGACGUUGCGCUUGCGAGGCAGGUGCAGUGCCACUGAGCUAAAUCCCCGGCCCUGAAUACUACUUUUGAUAUGGAGAAAAAUCACGCUAUGAAUUACAUAAGAAUAAACUAUUUUUAACAACUUAAAGUUUAAUUGACACACCAUAAAAUAUACACGUUUUAAAUGUAACACCUUUUUGGCAAAUGUUUAGAGUUGUAUAACCAUCACUACAGUCCAGUUUGAAAACAUUUCCAGCGACCCCAAAUUAAUUAUCAUGCCUAUUUUUCAGCCAAUCCCCUCUCCUAUCUCCACCCCAGGGAACCACUAAUAUACUUUCCAUUUCUAUGGGUUUUCCAUUUAAUAGAAUCCUAUGAUGUAUCUUUUAUAUCUACCUUCUUUGACUUAGCAUUAUGUUUUUGAAGUUCAUUCAUGCUUUAGCAUGUAUCAAUAGCUUGUUCCUUUUUAAUAGCUGAAUAAUAUUCCAUGUCUAUGUACCAAUGGAUGAACACUUAAAUUAUUUCCAAUUGCUAUUAUGAACAAUGCUGCUAUUAUAUACAUUCACACAUAGGUCUAGGUGUGGAUAUAUGCUUUCAUUUCUCCUAGGUAAUUUCUAAGAGCAAAAUUUCUGGGUGAUAUCAUAGGUUUAAUUUUUUUAAGAAACUGCCAGAUUUUUUUUCAAAAUGAAAAAUAUUUUAUACUCCCACCAACUAUAUAUGUGUUCUAGCUGCUCCAUGUCCCUGCCUACACUUUUUAUUGUCUGUUUAUUUUUUAGCUAUACCCAUUCCAUGUGAUCAUAAGUGUUCUAUGGUGACAAGACCCCACAUAUCAAUUGGCUCUUUGAUAUUCAUACAAGCAGAAAAGGGAUGCUUAGUUGCUGUUUGUUUUAGUCAAAUGAUUAGAAUAAGUAAUAAAGAGAGACAACCUAGCACCAGACAUGGCAGGUGCAGGAGGUUGCUGGCAACUGGCAAUCUUCUGCCAGCUAAAUGGCCAGCUGCAAUUCCUCCAUUGGUCAACUGCAUUGUGCCCGAUGCUUUCAGGAUAAGUCUCUCAUAGCCUCAGACGUUGUUUAAAGUUGUUUUCUAUUUUCUUCCCAAAACAGUAAGAUUGAGUGAAAGUUAUAUAUCCAGAGCAAAAAAGCAAAGGACCCCAAGUUUGCCCAUAUUCUGUGUAUGAAAUGAGCAUUUUCCUAUUUCUUGUACUGUGAAACUUAUAAUUCCUAAGAUAGACCAUCUUCACAAGUGAAGAAGCACAGACACAGAGAGGUUAGGUAAAUUGCAAAAGGUCACACAGACAGCGAGUGAAGCUGGGAUUCAAGCCCACCUCAUCUAAUUUCAAGUUGAAUUUUAAUUCACUGUGCUGAGAAUAAAUAAGUGAUGGAGAAAACUUUUAAAGAUCAGGGAAAUUUCCAUGGAAAGUAAAUGUAAAUAUUUGCUAAUAAGGAAUUAUAACAAGAGAUUUUACAACUGCUCAGUAUACAGCCAAUGGAUAGCUUGUGGUAGAGGGCUUCCAUUCAUGGUGCCAUAUGCAGAAGCAAAUUCAAAUCCUGGGGACUCAGAGUCAAACUGGCACUUUGGGAGAAAUGUGGAGGAGUGGGAUUCUGGCUUAUUGAAAGGGCAUUUUGAUUUUCUCCUAACUAAGAAAAGAUUGUUCAUUCCGUGCCUACACAGUUAGUGCAGAGAAAAUGCAGACAUUUUUACCACCCAAGAUGAGAAACUGAGAAGUUCCAGAAUUAAACUGGUACACUUUUUUGAGUAAUAGUUCUGCUUCCCUCAGGGAAAAGGAAUCUUUUCUGAUGUCAUUGCCACCCACCACCACCUGGCAUCUCUGCGUGGCUGCUCCAGAGCAGCAUAUAGAAGGAGUGGGGCCUUCAGCAGAAGUUGCAGGGCGCUUGGAGAAGUCUUUCCAGCAGGCACAUUCAGAUUUCAUAGUGGGCGCUCCUUAAUCUGACUUUGGAAGGUUGGAUCUAUGCAUCUCUUGCCCCAUUUUCAUAAAUGUUUAUAUGUUCAUGAUAGGAGGAAAAGUGACACUUUAUUGUCAGGGUGUCUACUUUCAUGGGCUCCCCUGUUCCUUCUAGAAUCAAGCCAGGGCUGUUCUUGCUCAGGUUGGUGAUCAGAGGGACAGGAGAUGAGAAUGUGAGUAAUAUGCUGUGAAGUUAAUGUUUCUCUUUCCAACAACCAACACAAACUCAGGUAACUGGGGAUUACGGAGUAUUUGGAUUUUUAACAAUUAAGUCUUCAAAUUUUAGGGCUUUAAAUUAAAUCCUGACUCUGGCAGCACUUGUUACUUGGCUCAUCUCAUAUACUUAAUAGCUCUUAUCUUCUAAAGGGAAUAAAAGUCCCAGUUAACACUGCAGGAUCUACAAGUGAAAGGGGAAACUAGCAAAAGUGGCUAAAGGUGUUUUGCCACAGCAAAUUCUUACUGGUGUACUUAUUACAAGCAAUAAUAAUGUGAUGUAGGCCAAUGUACUUCCCAAAGUGUGUUUGAAAAGAUAUUCACAGGUGACCUGUAUGGGGUGGAAGACCCUAACGCCAUAAUCAAGUACGUUUUGAAACAGAAGAUUUCUUUGUUGAACAAGAAAGAGUCUUUACUACAUUAAAUGUGCAUUCUGGGCCUCUGUUGCGGUUUAUAUGUGGCUGUCACCCCAAAGCUUCCUGGGCUCAGAAGCAGGGCUCAUAGGAGGUGACUGGAUUAAGGGGACAUUAUAUCUAGCUUGCUGUUAGGAGGAGGAGCCUCGUUUGAAGAGGUGUGUCUGGGGGCGUGGCCUGGAAGGGUUAAUCUCACUCUCCAGCUCCUCCCAUCUAUCCCUGCUUCCUGUCCAGCAAGCCGUGAGCAGCAUUCUUCUGCCAUGUCCUUGCCAUGCUGUCCUGCCUUGGAGCCAGCCAAUUCUGGACUGAAAUAUGAGUCAAAAUAAACCUCUCCCCCUUAAGUUGUGGAUGUUGGGUAUUUUGUUCCAGCAAAAAGGGAAGUAACAGAGACAACCUCCAAAGGUGAGAUGCUGUGUAGAGUUCUGUGAGCUGUGAGCUGCUUGAAAAGAAAAAUUCUCAGUCUCAGAAACAUUUUGUGAGACAGUUUGGAAAAAGGUGGCAUAGAAAGUGUACAGGAGUAUAGUUUCUUGUCUAUCUAAAGUCUUCAUAUCCAGCUAGCCCCUGCUAUCAUCUCGGCUCCAUCCUAUUUUUCUAAGAGCUCCAAAGAGGCCCCAUUCUGGUUAACCAAAGAACAUGGGAUAUUCUGAAACAGGAACAAUGUCCACGACCCUAUUUUUACCUGAAUUGUCUUUUCAUAGAGUAGAGGAGGACAGGCUGAUUGAGGUACUAGUUAAUGAUGAUUUGGGGCAAAGGGGGAAGUCUUCAGUAAACAACAAAACUAACUUAUAUGAUCACUAAAUGUAAAUAUAACUUAUUUGGACCUGAAUUCAACAAAACAAAUAUAGGAAGACAUUUUAAGUACAGAGAAAGUUUGAAUUCUAAGGAAUUAUUGUUUAUUUUUGUUAAGUCUAAUAAUGGUAUCAAGUUAUAGAAAAGAUUUUAAGAGAUAUGUAUACAAACAUUUAGUGUGAAAUAUGUUGCCUAGAAUUUGCUUUAAAACACCUCAAAAACACGAAGCAAAUAAGGCAAAUGUUAAUAACUGCUCAAUCAAAAUAAUAGGGUAUGUGAGGGUUUUAAUGAUAUUUUCUAUGGGUUUUAAUUUUUUCAUAAUAGAAAAAUUUUAAAUGCACAUUUAUCAGCCCCCAAUCUACCAAAUCAAAGUUGCUAGAGAUUGGGUUGGGAACUUGCUAUUUCUCUCUUUUUCUGGCUCCUCUCUCCCUCCUUCCUCCACCUUGUUUCUCUCCCCUCCCCCUCCCUCUCCCCUUCCCCCUCUCCCUCCAGCAAGAUUUUUUGGUUGGGGAAGCUGAGUCACUGGCUGCCUCUGACUUAUAAUCUGUGCACCUCAUCCAGACAUCACAACCCAGUACGUGGUUGUCAAGAGCCCUCAAAGCAGUGAUAUAGGCAUGUGAGAUACUUGGAACAUAGCAAAAAGCCCAUUUAUUGCCCAGAUGUGCAGGUUGAGGCUGCAGAUGCUAACUCAGAGAUCAGCCAUCUCAUUAAACAAGUAAGUUCAGCAUGGCUUUUUAUUACUGAUUAGUUCUGGUGUUUGCUGUUAGUAAUACAAACACAGCUGCACAUCUUUGAAUUAAAAAUGAGCAAGUGAAUAAUCAUUUACCAUAAUUAUAAGAUAGUCAUAAAAUUAAACAAAAAGCAAUGAAAUGUUUUACAAAUAAAAUAUUUUAAGGCAAGCAACACAAAUAAUAACUAAUCAAUUUCUAACGUGUACCAAGAUAUAAGUUCCUUAGAGAGAGUGGAACUACUCAGGUUUAGCAUAAUAUAGUUAUGUGUUAUACUUCACAUACUAAAUGACUAUCUACCUUCAGAAAGGACAUUUUUAUUUAAGUAUCUUUUAAAUGAAUGGACUGAUAGCCACCAAAAUUCAUUACUUACAGAAUCCAUGCUAUUAACCCAUAUCAUCUGUACUUUCAAAAAUCCCUAUUGUCAUACUUUUGAAAUGUUAUGGAAGGUUUACAGAACUUACCUGAGCUCUGCCUGCAGUUCACAUAGUCUGCAUAAAGUGGAGAAGUGGAGUGCCACAAUGAUUAGCCAUUACCUCAGCCAUAACAGCCACUAAAUAUACAUUUGUGAGCUCUUUUGGUUUUUCUACAUUGACAUGAAUAUAAAACUACAUUGCAUAUAUAAUGACAUUUUCAAACACUAAAAUAAUAGAUAGCUUUUUUUUUUUUUUUUUUUUUUUGUACCAGGUAUCAAACUCAGGUCCUUGCACUUUCCCUGCAGGCAGCAAAACCACUGAGCUAAAUCCCUGGCCCUAGAUAGCUAUUUUUUAAGGUGCUUAUCUGUUACCACCUAAACUCAUGUGGCAUACCACAAAUAGUGCUCUUACUACAUCCUGGGAUGCCUUAAUCUAAUUUAGGAAUGAAAAGAAUAAAUAUAUCAGAUUCUUUGUUAAUAAGGAAGAAAGAGAAAAUAAUUAUUCCUCAAGGGAAAGAACUACGCUGUAAUUAUGUCUGCAUGACCUGUACCUAGCACAGUGUCUAAAACAUAUUAGGCAUGCAAUGCAUAUCUGUUGGAAUAAAUGAAUGAAUGCUUAUCAUAUUUUGGAAUUAUCUCUAUCCCCUAUUCCCAAAACCAAUUAUUUGUCAAGGUAAAGGCUUUAAUCAAAGCUCUUAGUUCAUGAAAAUUAAAUUGCUGGGCUUGGCCCCUUUUGUAAGAAAUGUAAAACUCAUGAAAUUCAAAUACUCUUGGGAAAUCCAAACAUAUUUUCAUUUACCAAUGUCUACUUAAAAAGGCAAAAAGAAAAAAGCAAAUAAAUUGACAAAAAUACAUGAAUAUUAGCUUUUCAUAUUUUUAAAACACUAGAAAAGAAAAUGGGAAGCUGCCUCUCAUGAAUCUGGAAGCACCUUAGUAAAGCUGAAUGAAUGCACUCAGAAAGAACAGACUUGUAUCCUGGUCUGCCACUAGCUAGGGGUGUGUAACCCGGUAAAGUCACUGCAUUGCUCUGAGCCUCAGCUUUUCAUCUAUAAAAUGAAAAUUAUCAUCAUAAUCACUUAAAUAUGUAGAUUAAAAUAUCUAUAAGUUUCCUUUCAGCUGUAAAAUACAGAAGCUAUUUUCCAAUUUUCCUGUUCCCACAGCUUACUAAUCAGUGCUUGGUGUUAAAGCUCCUACUUCAUCACCAGUAUAGAGCAGGUGGAGCCUGACAUGGCCCUGAUCUUGGGCCCAGUGUCAUUGUGAGCGACAUGAGCCUCGGUACAGGCAAACCUAGCUAUUUGGCAUAUCAGUACAAGUUCUUGGUUGUCUAAUUUUUUAAAAAGUAUGUUUAGAAAACAAUUUAAAUGCUCUCAUUUCCUUUAAUGUUUUAAAUGCAUUUUACCAUGCGGCGGUGUAGCUUUUAAGAACACAGUCUGGGCAGUCAGAUUGUUUAGGUUUUAAUCUGGCUUUAAAAAUCAGGACAGCUUUAAAAAUUGUGCCUCAGUUACUUCAUCUUUUUAAAAAGGGGUUAAUUUUUUUAAAGAACUUCCCUGCUUCAAAAAGAUUUGUUGAGCAGCACAAGAAUUAAAUGAAAAAAUACUUCCAAACCACUUGAGUAAUCACUCACAAAAGCAGCUAUAUUGAGCUCUUGCAUAUAUAUAUUCUUUAUCUAGGAAGACAUUCCUAUUUUCCUGCUAAAAACAUCAUAAAAGCCAUUCUUUUGGGGUGACUUGUGUUGAAAAUGGCUCAGGAGGUCCAUGUGUUGGCUAGCAUCCUUUUGUGAGCUGGAUAAUGCCCAUGAUUAAAAAACUAGAAAGUGCUGUUUAUUAUAUGUAAGGUCCAGUGUGAGGAUAAAAUCUAGAGGGAAAAGACAAGAAUGUGGGCUGUGAUGCCAGAAGUUCUCUCAGUGCUGCGACACACAAUGCUCAUUUCCUGUGAGUCUACGAUGAUGUCCCCACUCAGGCACCUUGAGAGUGAUGGCCUACAGGGAUAGUAGAGAGCCCCUUUCUACAAGGCUGGGAAAGGAAAGUCAGACAGAGGCAGCUGUAGAGGAAAAAGAACAACAAAAAAGAAAUUCACCUGGCACCAUCUCUCACAAUAAUAAACAUUUUAAUAGUAAUUAUACUUCACAAUUAAGAUUAAUUUUUUUAUUAAAAUAAUUGGCCAGCAAUUCUAUUUGUAUAUAUCUCACAUUGAAAGGAAAAAUAAGUUUAAAUAAAAAACCAGUACAUUAAAAUCUGGUUUUACUCUGUAAUUAACUGAUGUACUCCCAUUUAAUAUAUAUGAAGUAUGAUCAAAAUACAGUCAAUGUUAAAUUCUUAAAAAGUAUCACAGGGGCCGGAUUUAGCUCAGUGGUUUUGCUGCCUGCUGCACAAGCGUUCAAGGACCCGAGUUCAAUCCCCGCUACCAAAAAAAAAAAAAGGUAUUACAGUGAAGACACAUUGCCAUUAAUCACUUCUCAAAAAACUCCCCCCUGAUUCAAACAUGCUCAUCCCACCAUUCUCGCCACUUUUGCAGCAGCUCUGGAAGUCCUCUUUCAUGAAUGUCUUUAGUUGUGCUAUUGUGGCUGCCUCGAUGUCCUGAAUAGAUUGAAAAUGUUUGCCUUUCCACGGUCACUUUGACUUUAGGGAAAAGCCAGCAGUCACACAGUGCCAGGUCCAGUGGACAAGGUAGAUGAGAAGACACAGUAAUGUUUUUAUGAAUCUUUUUAUCGUAUGGCAUCCAACAGCAGCAUUCACUGUGUUUUUGAUCAUACAACAUGAAGACACUUUUAGGGGGAGUAUUCUGAGGAGGAUUUAUGGCAAUGUGUAUUUUACCAAAAUAAUUUAAUUUAACCACUUGCCAGUCCAAUUAUUUAAAUACACGAUUUGCAUAUUUUGUUAAUUUUUAUAACAAAAUUGCAUAUUUUCUUAAUUUUCAUAAUAUAGCAGGAAAUACAAAAAUGACAAUUUCAUCAAGUUUAUUCAAUACAAGAAUCAACUGGUUGAAACGACACCUGCCUGAGGAUUGCUGAGGAUAGUCAGUACAUAAAUGCGCUGUCCGGGCGAUGCUGGGGUAAACUGUUGAGUGGUUAAACAUUCAUUGUAUGUUUUGAUCGUGCUUUGUAAAUGAAGGAUAUUAAAUACAUGUCAUAUGUAAUUCCUUUAUUUUAGGAAAUAUAUAUUAUAUGUACAUAUUUUAAAUAGUAACAGGAGUGAUAUCACUGGCUAGAAAUAGUGACUGAGAAAAAACUGACCUAAUGGCACGUUAUGAGCCUACAACUGUACAGUUAACAACAACAUUUUGCUGCUACACACACUUCCAGUGCAGGGCAUCCAAAAGCAAAUUAAAAGGAAUAGAGAACCAGGAAAACAAUUUUCCCUACUGAUUGGCAGGAGAAAUCACAAAACUAAAGGGAUGUCAUCUUGAAGUAGGAAUUACAAAAAAUAAAGGCUAAAUUCACAAGUUAAUGCCUUUACAUUUUCAUGAAUGUAAUCCAUAAAUCCAACUAAAAAGUAUUUUUAAGAACCAUCCUAAUUGGACUCAUCUUUCCCCAAAUCCCUCAAAAGUAGCUGUAGUUUUAGUAGUUGUAGUUUUAGUAGCUGUCCUUUCUUGAACUUUGAGGACAUUUAUUUGUGAGUUCUCUGAGAUGCUGAGAAUAAUAGGGAUAGCUUUGAUCUAAGAAACAGUUUGCCAGAUUCUCUCCAUGGGUAAGGAGGGCAGUGAGACUGGACCACAAGGACAUCCUUCCUCCACUCCUGGGAGUCUUGGUGCGGGGCGGUUCUGCAUUGUUUUCAUUCUUGCUCUGGAAGCCACAGCUGACACGAGUCUUGUGACUUGCGGGGUUUUAUAACCUGGCUCCUGCAGUGAAGUACAAAACCUCUGCGACAAAGACAAAGACAGCUCCAGGGACUGCCGGUUUCCCCCUUGAACUGGCAAACUUUCUCCUUUGUACUAUGUGUAUGGCUCAAAUGAAGUAAUUGGAAACUUGAAAGAAAAAAAACUAAGACUGAGUGGCACAUAGAAUGCAGAGGCAUGUAGCAACUUAGCUGAGAGCUUUUGUCAUCCCUCCUUUAGUCUGAUCAGUUUGAGACACAGGCAAACUUAAGCUGUUGGAGUGGAAGCCAAGUCAUCAAGCACUGCCCUGUUGGCUCCUGCUUGCCAAACCACCUCACAUAAUUCUUUGUAAUGAUCUUUUAAUAGCCCUACCCACCAGAAAUGGGCUGAGAAUCUUGUCCCCAGCCCUUCCUGUCCCAUAUACAUAUCUGGGUUUGAAUCAGCUUGAGUGGGCACAUAUCUUGGGUACUUCCCUUACAUUUCAGAUGCAUAGUUUCCUCUGCCAAUGAAGUGGAUGCCCCAGUGGGAGUCCUUUUUAUUUAUAAGUAAAAACUGGGUGUUUACAUGUUUUAAUAGGACCGUUUUCUUUUUAAAAUAUUAUUUAGAAAUUCAACUAUUGGCUUUGGGCAACUUGUCUGUACCCUGGUUCCCUUAUUUGUUAAACAUGAAUUAUAAGAGUACCUAUCUUAUAUGGUUGUGGUUAUGAUUUAAUGAGAUAAUAAACUUAAACUUGGUACAGUACCCAAAACACAAUAUAUGAUCGAUAAUCAACUUAUAAUAUUAAAUGUACUGCAUUCCUGAAACAACCAUUAAAUUUGUCAUUCAUUGAAUAAAAUAUGUCAUUUUGUAUUUACCUAGAAGUGUCACCUUUCAAAGUCAUGGAUGGGUCAGUGUAGUGGGGAUGAAAUAUAUCCCCAUGUAUAUAAAAUAUGUGGAUGUUCAUUAGGCAAGAUCAAAAGAGCAAAGCUAUGAAAUGGGAGGUAGAAAUUGGGAUCAUGUAUAUUAUAUUCAGUCUUUAUUCCGUGUUUUCAGAGCUGCUCUCCAACAUAUUUAUGGAAAUGUAAAUUAAGACUAUGAUUCAUUUAUACACAAUUAGAUUGAUGUAGCAGUUUCUGGGUACUAAAUGGAAUUAUGUUAUUUAGCAAAAGUGGGAGUUUCUAUUGCUUUACUUUAGUUGAAUGGCCUCUUUUUAACUAAAUUAAUAAUCAGUUUUAGUUAUUCUCUUCACAUCACAGGAAAUAAAAAAUAGACAACCUUUCUCCAAUUUGAAUUGGAUGUGCUGACGUCAAUGUCCUUAUUGUGAUAAAAAGAUUACUAAUCACAUCAUAACACACUCCUCUUUCCCCACAUGUUUUUCCCCAUUGGAAGAGGGUGGUAGAAUUCUAGUACCUGAAGUAUUUGGCAGCUCCAAAUUAAACAUUUCAAAAUCUGGCCUCUACAUCUAAAAUUUGCUUUAGCAUAAUCCUCAGCAGGGCAGCUCCCCAUAUGGCCAUGAAUGGGUGUCAGAAUUACUUGGAGUUUGUUACUGUGAUUUUAAGACUCUCAGCCCUGUCACCAGUUCUUAAAUGGUUCUGAUAAGAGCCAGAUUUGGAAACUACUGUCUAAAAGAAAUGAGAUAAUAAGUCUAAGUGGCAAUCAGGCAAUAUUUGAAAAAGGUAAUUAAUGAUCUAAUCUUUUGUAGAUUUUAUAGUGAUAUUUUUAGAGCUAUUUGGUGGUUUUGCUUUCAUGCAAAUGUCAAUAUAUUUGAACACAAAUGCCAGGGAUAUGAUUAACAAUGAAAGUACAGAGAUAAGAAAGUGGCAAUACACAAUAUGAAUGUGAUCAAUAUAAUUUAUGGUAAUAAUUUUUGAUAAUCCUAAUCAUUUCAAGGUUUAAUUUUACAUAUUUGGCAGUAUUUGUUUAAAACAUAGUUUAAUCUAUUAAAUACAUUUUUACUAAGCCACUUAAAAAUAAAACAGCAUCAAAGUAUGCUAUAUACAUGUAUGAAUAUGCCAAAAUGAAACACACUAGUGUGUAUUACUAAUAUGCACUAGUUAAAAAAUAAAAUACAGAAAAUUAGGUAAUUGUAACUAUUAUCCAUUGUAAGAGCUAAUUUCCACUCAUUUUUGGUUAAAUUUUAGAGUUUUUUCUUUGUUAACAUACUUCUAAUUUUAGUUCAAUAAUUUAAUUCUUCAUUGCUAUUAACAAGUGAAAAACUUUCCAAAUCUUUUCUUCUUUGGAUUAAUUAUUAUUUAAUAGAGACUAAGAUAAAUCUUGUCCUACCUCUACUGACAAAGAUGUGUUCUACCAUAGUAGAAAUUUUAGUCAGAGGUAGAAGUUUUACCAAUGCAAAAAGCAAAAACUUUGUCAGAUAAAAAUAACUAUCCUAUUUACCUUUUCCCCUUAAAAUCACCACAUGCUAAAAAAAUAAAAGCAACAUAAGAAGACAUAAAAUGUAUAUUGAGCAUCUUGGGGCUGAGGAAAGACCUGAGUAAAAUGUGGGGAAACAUAGAGGCAGAAAAAAAUAUAAUUUCUAAAUUUCUAGAAGUUAUGUCUUAUGCAGGUAUGCAUUUAUUCAACACUCAUUGGUAUCUAAAAAAAAAUUGAGCCCAAAUAUGGACAGAUCAGUCCGGAGGUCCCCAAAACAUGAUCCUUCGCCCCCAGUGACUUUGUAACAGGUGCUUGACAGCUCAGCUGGCAUCAUCGGAAGGAUCCUGCCCACCAUGACUCAUGGGAAACUGAAUAUGUUUUACAUCAGUAGUUCUUAAACUAGGGCAAUGAUUCUUCAUUGUGGGGGCUGCAUUGUAGUAGAUUUCACAGCACUAGUCUCUAUCCACUAGAUGAAGUGCCUAGAGCACUGACAUUCUCUCCUUCACAAAGUUACAACCCAAAAUACCUCUAGACACUAAUGUUCUCCAGGGGCAAAACCUAUCUCUGCUUGAGGACCACUAGAAGUAUCAAAGUAUGGGUGUGAGGAUUCCUCUGCAUCACAAAUAGCUCCCAUCUUCUGAUGCUACAGUUGCUGUAAUAAAUUCCUGUACCUGUCUUUCACACAACAAUAAAUUAAAAAGCUUAAACUAAACUGGGUAUGGUGGCACAUGCCUAUAAUCCCAGCACUCAGGAAACAGGAGGAUAGCAAGUUUGAAGCCAUCCUGGGCUAUGUGGCAAUACCCUGCCUCAAACAAACAAAUCAACAAAUAAAUAAAUAGCAAGUAAACAAAAGGCUAAAGGAGUUAACUAAUGAAUGAUGGAGGCAGCCUUGGAAGAGCUAGGAGAGCUGGGGAUACAGAGCUUUGGUAGCAGACUGACUGAGUAGAGCCAGGAGAGCUUGGUCUGAAAAAAAAGAUAAGGAAAGUCUGGAAGUGGAGAGGACUGAAGCUCCACGAGGAAAUGCCUGACUUAGUCUGCCCUGAAGGCCAGACACUUCAGGACAAAGAGCUUGGGCACCACUGUGUAUUUCUGUAAGGCCCUUGGGCAUCUGUAACCCAAGGCUAAUGAUGGGGGCUCUUUCAAAGAGCUGUUGGGAGGAUUCCACAAGGUCACGAGGACAAGCCUCCUUGGAGUGACCAGCUCAGGGAAGGGCGAGGUUGAUUCUUGAUGUGAGUGGAGCAAGCCAGCUGGAGCUGUAAACAUCUGAACAGCACUGUGGUGACAAGAAAGCCAGCCAGAGAGGGCUGAAUAAGAAGUUGGCCCUGCAUCUGUGAGACCACUGAUGGAACUGUUGUCUUGGUGAUGCGCCUGACUAAUGAGCUCAUUUAUUCCAUGUUCUUUUGGCUUCCUCAGUGACUUUAAAAGGGAUGAUUGUGCUGACCUGGAUUUUGAGAUUUUUUAAGAAAGCCGGAUUAGAAGGUCAAAAGGAUCAGAACAUAAGACUACCCCAGGGAUUAAACUGUAAGGGAAAGAAGUAAAGGUGGAUAAUAAACUGAGAGAAAAACUGAGGAAAAGGUCUGGGGACUGACAGUCUCCAGGUGAAAAGCAGGACUAGUG